rnacentral:tRNA from 1 species
GGGGGUAUAGCUCAGUGGUAGAGCAUUCAACUGCAGAUCGAGAGGUCCUUGGUUCAAACCCAGGAGUUCUAUUCUUCA